rnacentral:rRNA from 1 species
UACGAAGGGGGCGAGCGUUGUUCGGAAUUACUGGGCGUAAAGGGCGCGUAGGCGGCGACUCAAGUUAGAUGUGAAAGUCCUGGGCUUAACCUGGGGACUGCAUUUGAUACUGGGUUGCUUGAAUUCGGGAGAGGGAUGCGGAAUUCCAGGUGUAGCGGUGAAAUGCGUAGAUAUCUGGAGGAACACCGGUGGCGAAGGCGGCAUCCUGGACCGACACUGACACUGAGGAGCGAAAGCCAGGGGAGCAAACGGG